GUCAAACAGCAUGGAGAGCUUGAUGUGUGAAAACCAAUGCAAAAGGUGCUGGGAGAACUCAGCCUUGAGCAACUUCCUGAAGAUGGAAUUGCCACACGUUAGCUUUGAUAAUUGCAGCAAGUUCAUUAACCUUUCUUUCCCCCAUGCCCUUGUAUCAAAGGGCACAGAUUCUUCAUUCUUUGGGUCAUACCCAGAAACUGGCUCCCACCUUCAGGACAGCAAGGCCAGGCUCUUGGAUAACAGUGGAAGUGGGCACCUCUUCUAGAGCUGGACUCAGAAAGCACCAGUGCCUGUUGGUGCAGCACUCCUGUCCUUGCAGGUGAGAUGGACAGGCCUGAUUCUUCCUCUGUGCCCUUCUAGAAAGCUGGAGCAGUGUUUGCCAGCUUCCAGUUCAACAGGGACCUCUCUUGAUUUCCCCAGCAAUGACUGCAUGGAGAGCAGGCUGACUGCUGUAAAACCACAUGUCUGUACUGUCACAUGAAAACAGACUGUUAAAAUUAAAACAGGGUAGUGGUUCGGGAGGCUUAUGACAUCAAUUUAUUCUUUCUGGCCACUUCCUUUUCUCCUCUCCAUCAUCUCCUUGGAAUUGAUCCUCUUUUUCUCAACCUGAGCAAGUUCAGACAACCAACUACAGGAAACAAAGUAUGUAUUUCUACUGCAUUCAAUGACAUUUUCUGUGUAAAGCUGUCUACUCUUUAGUGCUGAGACAUAAAGAGACUGGUUUGGAGCCUUUGCUCAGCUUCCCAGAGGAGUUCUUAAGAGUGGACAAUGAAUUCAGGGCCCCGGGCUCAGCUUUGUAGCUGUGAGCACCGUGAUUUGAGGAACACCAACUUCAGCUUUCCCAGUGCAGAAUCCUUUGAAAAGUAUUGCAACACUAAGUGGGGAACAAGCCACGUUCCAAGAAACUUCAUUAAAACAUCAGUUAUCAGAACCAAAAUAACCCAGAGGAGAGGCACAGGUAAAGAACAGAAAGGCUUUAUUAUAUGAGACAUCAUCUUACUGUUGUCACCAUACUGGGAAAACUGCUGUGGUCUCAGUUCGGGUAGUAAUGCAGGAGUAGCUCCCUGUACCUGGGCUCAUUUGGUAUCAGUGCCACAGAGUUGCAGCAUAUUCUCGAACCAUGACUAGACUGUUACUUUUGUGCAUCCUCCUUUCGGUUCCUUGCUUGACAACAAACCCCCCAGCAGCUCAAUGGAAGAGCUAUCUAUCUGUCUAUCUAUUUAUCUGUCUAUCUCUCUCCACAGCACUUCUCUGCUAUUAUUUCCCUUCAAAAUAACAUUUUUUCAGCAUUAACUUUUCAUCGAUGGGACAAAUGUGUUACAGCGAGAUACUGGCAACAGUGGCCCUGCCACAGCAGUGCCCUCUCUAGACUGAGGAUCCACAAUUACACCGUUACCACACUCAUCCCAAUUUUCUAUUUUUCUUAUUGUUUUUCUUACUCAUUUCCCAGAGCAGGCAGGGUCAGAAGCAGCUCUGUCUCAAUAAUCAACUCAGUGUAAGAGGCUUUUUACCAGCAAGCACAUGCACAGAUCCAGAACACAAGUAUCAUCCUCUCAUGUGCUUCCCGCAAACGACUGUAGUACUUCACAUUCUGAAGCCUGGUGGUGUGAGUGUUGUGCUGUACUUCAGAAUAGGUACAGGACUCUUUAGGAGUACUGCAAAAGGCCUCACCAAACGUGUCCUUCUGGUUCCUCUCCUUUCCAAAUGAUUUAUAUGUAUAUAUAUUUUAAUAAGGUCUGAACAGAAGAGUGUGAUCUGCGCUAAAGAGAAGGAAAAAACAACCAACAUUCUCCACAGCAUGGUCCAUCUUAUAAUUGAAAACAAAUAGUGGUGUGUGUGUUCAAGUGCAUACAUCAACUACUACAAUGGAGGAGCAGAAUAAAAAAAAAUAGUUCUGUAACUUACACUGGAUUAAAAAAAUUCUUCCUUUCCCAGCUCCAAAGAAGGUGUGUAAACAUUGGGGUGAAUUGCAGCAGGUUUCCUUAUUUUCCAUCUCCUGGCUUCAAAUAACAUUCAAAAAGAGCAAAGUCAAAUACUGUUUUUUGAUAGGAGGAGGCCUUCACCAGUGUUACUUUAUCUAUGUGAUUCAAACAGGCCAGUAUGAUCUCCAAUAACUAACUUCAGUCUGUUGGCAGGCACAUCACACUAGAAAAAAAUCCUUCUAGGGUAAGUCCACUUAACCUCACCUGGAACAGCUUGACAGCAAGUAUAAAGCACUCAUAGGCUACAAACCAUCGGGGGGACCAUCUGAACUGAAAAUCCAACAGAGGGGGAAAUACCCUAAGCUGGAAACUCAUGCUCAGUAAGUUCAUGGUUUGAUAUCCAACCCCUCACAUCUUUCCCUAUGGAAAAGGGGGAUUGGCCUUUCCUCUGCCUUUCUGGAGUUACCCCCUUCUGGCACCCACCAUCAGUGUGUGCUGAUUCAGUUACUUGCUUUGCCACCAGUGCCAGCACUGCAAAUUUAAGGGACUGUCCCUGUUUCUUUUAACCACAUUCCCUAUGAUUUUGGGUUAGAGAUUUGGGCACUGCCCUGUACAACAGUUUGAAUUUUGCAACUGAUGUCUUUUAGACUCCCCCAGGACAUUUACAUGAUGUAUAAAACAGUAUUUCUAGACGAAUAUCUAAGUCAGGAUUCUCUUUAGGGGGAAGUUCUUACAGCACAGAACAUCUGUAUAAAAACACAAUAGGCAGAAACAAUCCCAACCUGGAUCUCUAAAGAAGCAGUGCAUACAGAGCUACCUUUCGCUUCAGCACAGAAAUACCAGUUGGGUUCCUGUAUUUCAGCUCUUCCAAGUCUCUGUGUUCCAGGGAGCAGACAAUAACCCUACAGAAUGAGGGAAGGAGGGUUUGAGGAUUUUAAGUUCAUGUAACUACUACAGCACCUUUAGGAAUUAACACAUGGAUACGAACUAUUAAACAAAGAAAAACACAACAACAAAAAAAAACCCCAACCAAUUUGGGGUGACCCAUCUUUGGAGCAAAAUGUUUUCUUGUCAGUGUGUUAAAGGAAAACAAAUGCAACUCAGAUAUUCCAAAGUUCCAGAAUCAAAUUGGAGUAAUGUGUGAGGAAACAGGAUGAUGAAAAGACCGAAUGUGAACUAAGAUCUAAGAACUCCAGAGAUUUAUACUCAUGUGACAACAUCUGUGUUUGAAGAAAAAUGAAAUUAGUGAAAUGUACAUGAUGAAAAGCUUCCAAGCUUCCACAGCUUCUUCUACCAGCAAACAAAAACACAUUCAUGAAUCAGUGAACCACAGCAAUGGGAAGGCCCUACUGGCUUGCAGGUGGACUUGAGCUUUGAGCAGAGGAGGCAGGAGGGCACUUCUUUUAUUUCCAGUCAGACAGGCUGCGAGGAACAGAACAGUCAGGUCCAAUGCUCUGAUCCCUUUGUAGGCAUUUGUAUUUGGGACGGG